rnacentral:rRNA from 1 species
UGAGUAACCUGCCCUUAACUCUGGGAUAAGCCUGGGAAACUGGGUCUAAUACCGGAUAUGACUCCUCAUCGCAUGGGUGGGGGGUGGAAAGCUUUAUUGUGGUUUUGGAUGGACUCGCGGCCUAUCAGCUAGUUGGUGUGGGUAAUGGCCCACCAAGGCGACGACGGGUAGCCGGCCUGAGAGGGUGACCGGCCACACUGGGACUGAGACACGGCCCAGACCUCCGUACGGGAGGCAG